GGCCAGACAAGAAGAAAAAAAAAGUGAAUAGAGUAGGUGGAAUGCAAAAGCGGUCGACAUAUUUGCUAGAGGCGAUGGCAAAGUUAGUUGUAGUUGUUACCCAAAAGUAGAGGUAGACAGAAUACUUGUUAAAUGCAAUCCAUUUUUAAAACAAACCUCGAGGAGAGAUGAUUACCGAUAUUCCUAAAUGAUAUGAGAGUUAAUUUCAGAAUAAAGGCUUUUAAGAGAGUUCAGGUCGACAUUUUUGCCCUUUGAGCUAAAAUGUUCACCUUGUGUAUGUGUGUGCGCGUGACAAUAUUUUUCUUUUUAUGUAAAGAAACAAAGAAAUAAUUAGUGGAGGGAUGUUUUUAUAGAUUGAAGUGAAAGAGGAAAGGGAUCUUCAAAAUUAAACGAGUUACUAAGGCUACACACACACACACACACCUAUAAAUACAUAUCUUGCAUGCAAAGAAUGGGAGAAAGUUUAAAUACUUUGUGUGCGCGCUAGUGUACCGGGUGAAGGUGUGUGUGUGUGUGUGUACAUUUGUGAUGGUGCGUUUGCUCAUCAGUUUUUGUGUAACGAUGUACGUGCUAGCUCGUCUACACUUUCACCUGUUUAAGCUUAUAGACUCCGGUCAUGCUGGGGCACCGCCAUUGUUGUUUGAAUAUCAAGACUUUUUCAUAUAUGGUGCUUCUGUAACUACAUUUAUCUGACGAUGCUUCGUACAACGGCUGUGAACUCGAUUAAAAGAAUGUAUUAUGAAGUUCAGGGUUCAAUCGCCGUGUGCGGCAUCUCGGGUAAAACAGAAACAAUUCCUGAAGUAGAGUCAACCGUGAACCAACCCGAAGUGUCGGUUAAAAGAGAAUAUGCAUAUGUAGGGUCCUGAACAGAUACAUUAAACAAACUCCCCGUAUCGGUUUCAUAGAUGACAAAGCUUUUUUGUGGUACGGAGGCCCUCCUUCUCCUCACCUGGACUAUUGAAGAGUAGGAAGCUGCAUCAUCCCCUAAAGGUACCCAUAAAUGGGUGGGAUUAGACAUGUGUCGGAUUGGAUUCACACGUUUUCCAUAUAGUCCAAUUUUAACAAGAGAUGGUCGACUUCGAUGUCCAGUAUCGUCUGUAGCAUGAACUUUGAGUAAAGGAAGAUCCAUGUUUUGAUAUAGCGACUUGGUGACAUAAAUAAAUCCACUGGACGGAUUUAUUGCAAAA